UAAUUACAGCAUGCCAAUUACAAGGGACUCCUCUUUCUUUCUUAUUUUCUUUAUAUAUGUAGGAAAUGUUAGACCCAGGUCUAAUCACCUUCAUUAAGAGAAGUAACUAUACUGUAAAAAAUGGCUGAAAUCAAGCAUUUCAAACAAAUUUAACAUAUUAAAAGGUCUAAUCACUCAGUCCAGCAGUAAUUUAUUUUUGUAGGCGAUCAGAAGGCACGCUUCGGAUCUUCAUUUCAUAGUUGGAAGGUUCAGGCAUAGAAAAACCACCAGAAUUUAAGUUCCAGUCAUCAUCUAUAUGCAUCAUGGGUUAAAGAACUAUGUCGGCAUGCAACGAAUACAGGCUUAAAUCAGAGGUAGCAAUAAAUACGAUUAUAACCAGCUGACAUUUGUUGUGAAGGAAAAGUGACGGUUGCAUGUGUGCCUGUGAAAGAGAUAGAGAUAGAGAUAGAGAGAGAGAGAGAGAGAGAGAGAGAGAGAGAGAGAGAGAGAGAGAGAGAGAGAGAGAGAGAGAGAGAGUA
rnacentral:lncRNA from 1 species